UACGAAGGGGGCUAGCGUUGCUCGGAAUUAUUGGGCGUAAAGCGCACGUAGGUGGCUCGUUAAGUCGGAUGUGAAAGCCCUCGGCUCAACUGAGGAAGUGCAUUCGAAACUGGCGAGCUUGAGUAUGGAAGAGGGUCGCGGAAUUCCCGGUGUAGAGGUGAAAUUCGUAGAUAUCGGGAGGAACACCAGUGGCGAAGGCGGCGACCUGGGCCAAUACUGACACUGAGGUGCGAAAGCGUGGGGAGCAAACAGG
rnacentral:rRNA from 1 species